rnacentral:rRNA from 1 species
UACGUAGGGUGCAAGCGUUAAUCGGAAUUACUGGGCGUAAAGCGUGCGCAGGCGGUUGUGCAAGACAGAUGUGAAAUCCCCGGGCUACAACCUGGGAACUGCAUUUGUGACUGCACGGCUGGAGUGCGGCAGAGGGGGAUGGAAUUCCGCGUGUAGCAGUGAAAUGCGUAGAUAUGCGGAGGAACACCGGUGGCGAAGGCGGUGGUCUGGGCCGGCACUGACGCUGAGGAGCGAAAGCGUGGGUAGCAAACAGG